rnacentral:rRNA from 1 species
AUUGAACGCUGGCGGCAGGCCUAACACAUGCAAGUCGAGCGGAUGAAGGGAGCUUGCUCCUGGAUUCAGCGGCGGACGGGUGAGUAAUGCCUAGGAAUCUGCCUGGUAGUGGGGGAUAACGUCCGGAAACGGGCGCUAAUACCGCAUACGUCCUGAGGGAGAAAGUGGGGGAUCUUCGGACCUCACGCUAUCAGAUGAGCCUAGGUCGGAUUAGCUAGUUGGUGGGGUAAAGGCCUACCAAGGCGACGAUCCGUAACUGGUCUGAGAGGAUGAUCAGUCACACUGGAACUGAGACACGGUCCAGACUCCUACGGGAGGCAGCAGUGGGGAAUAUUGGACAAUGGGCGAAAGCCUGAUCCAGCCAUGCCGCGUGUGUGAAGAAGGUCUUCGGAUUGUAAAGCACUUUAAGUUGGGAGGAAGGGAAGUAAGUUAAUACCUUGCUGUUUUGACGCUACCAACAGAAUAAGCACCGGCUAACUUCGUG